AAGGACGUAGCUUAAUUAGUAAAGCAAGGCUUCAUAAGCUAAGAUAAGUGUUCGAAUCACUUCGUUCUCA
rfam:Mycosphaerella graminicola mitochondrion, complete genome.